rnacentral:tRNA from 1 species
ACUUUGGUGGUCCAGCGGUAGAAUUCUCACCUUCCAUGUGGAAGACCUGGGUUUGAUUUCCAGCCAAUGUA